UCCUCCCUGCUCGGUGCGUGAUGGGCUUUAUUUAAACCCACAUUUCUUAAACGGGAUGCCCCCUCAUGGUGCGGAUCGCAGGCCUCCCGACUCCCGAGGUCGGAAGUUGGAAGCGGAGAAACAUCAUGGAGGCAACCCACCUGCCAUUUCGUGCAGGUUUUAAAUGGGUCCACACGGCCAGAGCGGGGAGCGA
rnacentral:other from 1 species